UCAGGAUGAACGCUGGCGGCGUGCCUAACACAUGCAAGUCGAACGAAGCAUGAUUGAAGGAGACUCGGUCAAUGGAUAUCAUGACUUAGUGGCGGACGGGUGAGUAAUACAUGAGCAACCUGCCUUUCAGAGGGGGACAACAGCUGGAAACGGCUGCUAAUACCGCAUAACGUACGAGAGGGGCAUCCCUUUUGUACCAAAGGAGCAAUCCGCUGAAAGAUGGGCUCAUGACUGAUUAGUUAGUUGGCAGGGCAACGGCCUACCAAGACUGCGAUCAGUAGCCGGACUGAGAGGUUGAACGGCCACAUUGGGACUGAGAUACGGCCCAGACUCCUACGGGAGGCAGCAGUGGGGAAUAUUGGGCAAUGGGCGAAAGCCUGACCCAGCAACGCCGCGUGAAGGAAGAAGGUCUUCGGAUUGUAAACUUCUUUUAUGAGGGACGAAGGACGUGACGGUACCUCAUGAAUAAGCCACGGCUAACUACGUGCCAGCCGCCGC
rnacentral:rRNA from 1 species